rnacentral:rRNA from 1 species
GACGUAGGUGGCGAACGUUAUCCGGAAUCAUUGGGCGUAAAGGGUGCGUAGAUGGCAUGAUAAGUUAUUAGUGGGAAAUCGAGGCUCAACCUCGUGGAAGCUAGUAAUACUGUUUGCUUGAGUACAGAAGAGGUUAACGGAACUCCAUGUGGAGCGGUAAAAUGCGUAGAUAUAUGGAAGAACACCAAUAACGGCGAAGGCAGUUAACUAUUCUGUUACUGACAUUGAGGCACGAAAGCGUGGGGAGCAAAACGG